rnacentral:lncRNA from 10 species
CCGCGGCGGAGUUGGCUCGGGGACUCACCAGGCCAGGAACUUGGGAGCCAUUUAAGCUGGUUGGUUCUUGCUCAGGGCCACUCAAGCUGAUGGCUGGAGUUGCAGAGUCAUCUGAAGGCUGGACUGAGGCUGAAAGAUCUGCUUCCAAGAUGGUGCCCUCACAUAGCUGCUGGCUGGAAGCCUUAGCCCUUCACCAUAAAGCCCUCUCUGUAAGGGUACCUGAGUCACCUCAUAAGGCAGCUGGCUUUCCCCAGAGUAAGUGUUCCACACAGAGAGCCACAUCUUGUCACUUCCAGGGUAUUCCGUUUGUUAGAAGUGUUGCAAAGGGUGAUAUGUGAGUAUCAGAUCUGUAAACAGAGCAUAUAGGGAUCACAAAGAUGGCCUUAUCUUAUGUUUCUUCUGCUGUAAAGAGUCCAAAUUAAUGAAAGACUUAUUUUCUAGAAUGUUCCUGGUUUCCCUUCCAUUUCUGCUUCUUUUAAGAUCUGUGUGAAGAGCUUUGUCCUUUCCAAAAUAGAGGGAACUGAAAUUGAGGUUCUUUUCCUUUUUAAUCUAUAAGAAAAGUUCUUUAGUUCAAAACCUUAUUAAUAAUCAUAAAACCUGAAUAGUCUGUUCAGUCACCAUAAGUGAGCACAAUACUUCUGGUUUUCCUAGAAAUGGUUGAAAAUCUUGGGUGCUCAAG